CCUCCGCCUUUUCUCUCUACAGCUCUCGUCAAGUAGAAGAUACAAGGUAUGCAUAGAUGUUCUUUUUUUGUUGCUUUCUCAUUUCUCGGUUUAUUUUCAAAAUCUUGUCGUGACGUUGCUUGCCGAUUAAUAUCCACGAAAAUCUUUUUUUUUUCUUUUUUGUUUGGGAAAUCGAGAUUUCGUUGUAUGAGAUGAGAUUCUUUAAGGAUGUUUCAAUUAAUUGGUUAAUGAAUAGUGUGUGCCGUAACCACAUCCUCUCUCUGUUUUCGUUUGAUGCCUAACUUUGUUUUCUUUCCCCCUAUCUCUCUUUUUCUUUUUCUUUUUUUUUUU
rnacentral:lncRNA from 1 species